UUUUACUGCAGAGAUGGGGAAGUAAACAGUCUAGUGCAAGUGCAAUGCAAAUGAUUUCUCCUAGCCUGAUCCUGAAGUUGCUGGCGUGUGCCACGUAAAAGUAAGCAAAAAUUAGUCUGAUGAAAGACAAGAUAGAUCUUUCCAGGAGGUCUUUCAUGAGUUUGUCAUGAAACAUGUGCUUAUACUAUUCCUUGAACUGGGACAAGGGUGCUGAGCUCCUUGUAAAAUCAGCCCCCACGUGGGCAUGUUCUCAGGGCACGUACAGUAGCUGGGGAACUGGGUUCUCGUGCACUAACGCAGCUCUGCUAUUUGUGGGGGAUGGUGUUAAUUCAGAGAUCUGUCCUUCAAGGCAAGGGAAUGAUGAGCCAGAAAGAACUUGGCAACUAUUUGAUCUUCAUCCUUUGACUGGAUGUGCCUGAAAUGUGGAAGUGUGAAGGCAGCGCAGCUGAAGAAGCCAUAUCCCAAAGAGACAGGGUGGUAUUUGGCAGAGAUCAGCAGCCUCUUAUGCUGGUGGCAUUACCUGAUGGAACAAACAGCCUGGGGCAACCUGGAAACAACUGCCUUCAGGGAGAGUCCACAGAUCACCAGGAAAAUGUUCUUGCAGGGAAGUGUAGUCAUUGUCUUCCUAGUUUAUUCCUCCUAACUUUAUCUAACAUGCAUAGCUGCUGUUAUUAAGCAGAAUUAUUGACUAUGUAAUUUCUUUCUUUAUGUGACCC
rnacentral:lncRNA from 1 species